GACGAACGCUGGCGGCGUGCCUAAUACAUGCAAGUUGAGCGCUGAAGGUUGGUACUUGUACCGACUGGAUGAGCAGCGAACGGGUGAGUAACGCGUGGGGAAUCUGCCUUUGAGCGGGGGACAACAUUUGGAAACGAAUGCUAAUACCGCAUAAAAACUUUAAACACAAGUUUUAAGUUUGAAAGAUGCAAUUGCAUCACUCAAAGAUGAUCCCGCGUUGUAUUUGCUAGUUAGUGAGGUAAAGGCUCACCAAGGCGAUGAUACAUAGCCGACCUGAGAGGGUGAUCGGCCACAUUGGGACUGAGACACGGCCCAAACUCCUACGGGAGGCAGCAGUAGGGAAUCUUCGGCAAUGGACGAAAGUCUGACCGAGCAACGCCGCGUGAGUGAAGAAGGUUUUCGGAUCGUAAAACUCUGUUGGUAGAGAAGAACGUUGGUGAGAGUGGAAAGCUCAUCAAGUGACGGUAACUACCCAGAAAGGGACGGCUGACUACGUG
rnacentral:rRNA from 1 species